GACGAACGCUGGCGGCGUGCUUAACACAUGCAAGUCGAACGGAAAGGCCCUGCUUGCCGGGUACUCGAGUGGCGAACGGGUGAGUAACACGUGGGUGAUCUGCCCUGCACUUCGGGAUAAGCCUGGGAAACUGGGUCUAAUACCGGAUAGGAGCCAUUUUUAGUGUGAUGGUUGGAAAGUUUUUUCGGUGUAGGGUGAGCUCGCGGCCUAUCAGCUUGUUGGGGGGGUAAUGGCCUACCAAGGCGGCGACGGGUAGCCGGCCUGAGAGGGUGGACGGCCACAUUGGGACUUAGGGACGGCCCAGACACGGACGGGAGGCAGCUGUGGGGAAGAUUGCAGAAGGGGCGCAAGGCUGAUGCAGCGAGGCCGCGUGGGGGAUGACGGCCUUCGGGUUGUAAACUCCUUGCGCUAGGGACGAAGCUUUUUGUGACGGUACCUAGAUAAGAAGCACCGGCUAACUACGUG
rnacentral:rRNA from 1 species